rnacentral:rRNA from 1 species
UACGGGGGGGGCAAGCGUUGUUCGGAAUUACUGGGCGUAAAGGGUGCGUAGGCGGUUUGCUAUGUCGGAUGUGAAAACUCUGGGCUCAACCCAGAGCCUGCAUCCGAAACUGGCGAGCUAGAGUUCUGGAGGGGGUAGCGGAAUUCCUGGUGUAGGCGGUGAAAUGCGCAGAUAUCGGGAAGAACACCCGUGGCGAAGGCGGUUCUCUGGGACGGUACUGACGCUGAGACGCGAAAGCG